GAUGAACGCUAGCGGCAGGCUUAACACAUGCAAGUCGAGGGGUAUUGGUUUUCGGACCAAGAGACCGGCGCACGGGUGCGUAACGCGUAUGCAAUCUACCUUUUGCAGAGGGAUAGCCCCAGAGAAAUUUGGAUUAAUACCUCAUAGUAUAGUACUUUGGCAUCAAGGAACUAUUAAAGUCACAACGGCAAAGAUGAGCAUGCGUCCCAUUAGCUAGUUGGUAAGGUAACGGCUUACCAUGGCUACGAUGGGUAGGGGUCCUGAGAGGGAGAUCCCCCACACUGGUACUGAGACACGGACCAGACUCCUACGGGAGGCAGCAGUGAGGAAUAUUGGACAAUGGGCGCAAGCCUGAUCCAGCCAUGCCGCGUGCAGGAUGACGGUCCUAUGGAUUGUAAACUGCUUUUGUACUAGGAAGGAAACACUAACUUCGUUGAGUAGCUUGACGGUACUGUAAGAAUAA
rnacentral:rRNA from 1 species